rnacentral:rRNA from 1 species
UACGUAGGGGGCAAGCGUUGUCCGGAAUCAUUGGGCGUAAAGCGCGCGUAGGCGGCCCUGUAAGUCCGUUGUGAAAGUCAAAGGCUCAACCUUUGAAAGCCGAUGGAUACUGCAGGGCUAGAGUCCGGAAGAGGCGAGUGGAAUUCCUGGUGUAGCGGUGGAAUGCGCAGAUAUCAGGAGGAACACCAAUAGCGAAGGCAGCUCGCUGGGACGGUACUGACGCUAAGGCGCGAAAGCCAGGGGAGCGAACAGG